CCUACGGGGGGCAGCAGUAGGGAAUUUUCGUCAAUGGGCGCAAGCCUGAACGAGCAAUGCCGCGUGAACGAGGAAGGUCUUCGGAUCGUAAAGUUCUUUUCUCAGGGACGAAGAAAGUGACGGUACCUGAGGAAUAAGCCACGGCUAACUACGUGCCAGCAGCCGCGGUAAUACGUAGGUGGCAAGCGUUAUCCGGAUUUAUUGGGUGUAAAGGGCGUGUAGGCGGGAGCGCAAGUCAGAUGUGAAAACUCAGGGCUCAACCCUGAGCCUGCAUUUGAAACUGUGUUUCUUGAGUGCUGGAGAGGCAAUCGGAAUUCCGUGUGUAGCGGUGAAAUGCGUAGAUAUACGGAGGAACACCAGUGGCGAAGGCGGAUUGCUGGACAGUAACUGACGCUGAGGCGCGAAAGCGUGGGGAGCAAACAGGAUUAGAUACCCUAGUAGUC
rnacentral:rRNA from 1 species